GUCUAUAGUUAUUCCACCCUGCACGUGCCCCAUCUCCUCGGAUCUCGGAAGCUAAGCAGGGUUGGGCCUGGUUAGUACUUGGAUGGGAGAAUACAAGUCAUAGACA
rnacentral:rRNA from 1 species